AGACGUCUACAUUAGAUACCCCCUGUAGUCCCAGCCGUAAACUAUGCGCGUUAGGUGUAUCGGUGACCACGAGUCACCGAGGUGCCGAAGGGAAACCGUGAAACGUGCCGCCUGGGAAGUACGGUCGCAAGGCUGAAACUUAAAGGAAUUGGCGGGGAGCACCACAACGGGUGGAGCCUGCGGUUUAAUUGGACUCAACGCCGGGAAGCUCACCGGAUAGGACAGCAGAAUGAUUGCCGGGCUGAAGACCCUGCAUGACUAGCUG
rnacentral:rRNA from 1 species